AUGGUUGAUCAACGAUUAAGAAUCAUUUUAGGGUUAAACGAUUAAGAAUCGUUUUAGGGUUAAACGAUCAAUACGAUUGACAUUUAACCUAGUGCAAGUAUUGUAGGAGGAUCGAUUAGCAAUUUAAUUGCUAAUUGACUUAAUUUGAUUAAGCCAAUGGGCUGAGAUUAAGUCUAAUUGAAUAUGAUUUAAUUAGAUUUGGU
rnacentral:lncRNA from 1 species